rnacentral:sRNA from 1 species
GCCGGGCAGAGUGGUGCAUGCCUGUAAUCCCAGCAGCUCAGGAGGCUAAUGCAGGAGGUUGAGAGUUCAAAACCAGCCUUAG